rnacentral:lncRNA from 1 species
AUUCUGCAGGACCCUGGAGGGAGGCGCUGUAAUGGUGGUGGUGGUGGUAUAGGAGCUAGAGAUCUGGAAGGGGGAGGAAGAGGAGAGUCAGGAGAAGAGACACGUGGAGGCAGCUGGGGCCACUCCGCUCUCUAAUCACGCUGGGGGAAGGGUGGACAGUACGGACCCUUCCGCAGCGCCGUAGUUCACUGAGGGUAGGGUGUAUCCGAGACGCAACGGAGAAAAGUUCCCUGAAACUGUACAGAUACAUUAGGGGCGGAGGGCGAGGGGGACGAGGGGCGCGAAACCUAUCGGGAGGCGGCAGUAGGAAGGAGAAGUAAAGCACUCACAUCCCCACGAAGACAAAGGAAAACCCGCAUAAUUCAUAAAAGCACCAGCACGACCGGAUUUUUCUUUAAAGCUUAAGAAACUAAAGUUGGAGACUCAAGUCCCCAAAUUACAAUCCACAUUCCCAACUCACGGAAGGCAGCACAACUCGAAAAAGAUGACCAAGUCCUCCGCGGAGCUCUCCCCUCUCUUCUGCCACCAACCCGUCCCCUGGAAGCCCAGCCCGCGCCUGCGACCCGGCGGUACGGGGCCAGGCUGGGAAACUCACAUCGUCCUGCAGCAAGUGGGCCGGCAUCUUGGCUCUCGGAUGCCGGGAUCACUUUCCAGGGGGCUGAGGCUCCGGAGCGGAGUUCGGGGUCGCCGGAGGACUGCGGUUUCGAAGCCCGCCGGUACGCGCUGAGCCGCGGCGCCUUGCACGCUAGCUGGUUGUCGGCGCUAGCCGCGGUGCGUGGAGGUCCCCGAGCCGGGAAUUUAAAGGCUAGAGCUGGCAACGGGUGACCGUGUCCGGUAUUUCCUCAGCCCCCUUUUAUCCGCUGCCAAGCAGGGGCAAAGUGCGAGGAGUUGACUGGCGCGGGCGGUCCCGCGUGGAGGUAAGGGCGGGAGGGGGAGGAGACAGAGGCCGAGGCUCGCGGCGACCGCAGCAGGGCGCCGGGGAUGCUGCCGACACCGACACCACACCACCCGGCCUCUGCCCCUGCCCCUGCCUCUGGGGAAAUGCUAAUGAGGCUUCUGUAAACUCCGGCUCGUCAUUGGCCGAAGGGAAUUUGGUGCCACCUCGUCCUGCCGUUGCCAUUGGCUCGGCGCAAUCUGCUGUUCCCUCUGCCGCCAGCUCCUCGCUCCCCCUCCCCUCUGUUUCUCCUUCUCAGCUUCUCUUCCACCCGCCGCUGGGCCUCUGCCCGGCAUCCCGCGUCGGGAGCUUUCUCUCUGGAAGGGGCUGGGGACCCGGUUUGGGGCUGGGGCGCGGAGCCUAGCCCAGGACCGGCCCUCGGGCACACGGAGAACGGGUGGGUGGGCACUGGGGAAGUUUCUCAGGAAACAGUGGUGAACCCUCGGGGGGCGCCCACCACUAACAUCUCCGUCCCGUCUUCCGUCCCCCCAGGCGCGUGGCAGGGAGACGUGGCAGCCACCCCAGGAUCUGGAGCUUGGGGGACGCGGGAAGCCCCGCCUCCCUCCCGGGCGAGCGCGGGGGACUCGGUACGCCUGCGAACAAUGGCUCUGCCCCGCCCACCAGCCACGCGCUGCUCACCCGGGACCGCACCGGACUCCGGCCGCACACACAGGCUGGCUGGUGUGUGUGUGCCUGCGCGCACGCAUCCUGUUCAGGACCCGGGCGGGCAGUCCCAUCCCCAAGCCCGCGCCUCCAGGAUGCGUGCGGGAUGUUUUGGAGAUUCUUCAGACUGGCAGGUUGUAAUUUUGGAAUCUUCUUUGUGGAAACCGUCAGGAAACACUGACAUGUGUUUUCACCCAGCAGCAGGCGAAAGGGCUUGGAUGUGGAAUAAGAAUAGCUGGCAGAUGAUUGAGCUAUAGGCUCCAGAGGAAAGGUACACUCCAGACCAGCUCCAGAGAACGAGAGAAGACUUCCCGGAGGAGACGGUGCUAAAUCCGAAGGGACCAUUAAGGAUGACUAGCGGGAUAUUGAUGAAGCUUAAGGUCUCAUGCCCAGGAUGCUUUCUUAUAGGCCAAAUGGUAUCACUCCAUUCUACUGGUGUCAGCUGCUUGAAAUAGUGUAGACACAGAGAAUUCUGGGACCCGUGUCGCUCAGAAACAAUGUCAAAGUCCUGGCUGAAGGUAUCUACAUUACCCACGAAUUGCUGUAUAUGAGUGGAAUGUACAAGCAUGGAUGCAACAGCAAGAGAACUAAAUUUGUUUUGUGCUUCAAA